AGUGAACGCUGGCGGUAGGCCUAACACAUGCAAGUCGAACGGCAGCACAGUAAGAGCUUGCUCUUACGGGUGGCGAGUGGCGGACGGGUGAGGAAUACAUCGGAAUCUACUUUUUCGUGGGGGAUAACGUAGGGAAACUUACGCUAAUACCGCAUACGACCUCCGGGGGAAAGCAGGGGAUCUUCGGACCUUGCGCGAUUGAAUGAGCCGAUGUCGGAUUAGCUAGUUGGCGGGGUAAAGGCCCACCAAGGCGACGAUCCGUAGCUGGUCUGAGAGGAUGGUCAGCCACACUGGAACUGAGACACGGUCCAGACUCCUACGGGAGGCAGCAGUGGGGAAUAUUGGACAAUGGGCGCAAGCCUGAUCCAGCCAUACCGCGUGGGUGAAGAAGGCCUUCGGGUUGUAAAGCCCUUUUGUUGGGAAAGAAAAGCAGCAGGUUAAUACCCCGCUGUUCUGACGGUACCCAAAGAAUAAGCACCGGCUAACUUCGUG
rnacentral:rRNA from 1 species